UAGCAUAAUCAUUAGUCUUUUAAUUGGAGGCUUGUAUGAAUGGUUGGACAAAAAGCAAACUGUCUCAAUUAUAAUAAUUGAAUUUAACUUUUAAGUGAAAAGGCUUAAAUAAACUGGGGGGACGAUAAGACCCUAUAAAGCUUUACAAUUAUUUAAUUAAAUUAUAAAUUGUUAGUAUAACUUAAUUUAAUUGAUAUUUGUUUCGUUGGGGCGACGAGAAUAUAAUUUUAAGUAACUGUUCUUUUAUGGUUAAUUACAGAUUUAUUUGGGUAAAAAUUGAUCCUUUAUUAGAGAUUAAAAGAUUAAGUUACUUUAGGGAUAACAGCGUAAUCUUCUUUGAGAGUUCAUAUCGACAAGAGGGGUU
rnacentral:rRNA from 1 species